rnacentral:rRNA from 1 species
CCCUUAGAUGUUCUGGGCCGCACGCGCGCUACACUGACGAUGGCAACGAGUUUUUCCUUCGCCGAAAGGUGUGGGUAAUCUUUUGAAACAUCGUCGUGCUGGGGAUAGAUCAUUGCAAUUUUUGAUCUUGAACGAGGAAUUCCUAGUAAGCGCGAGUCAUCAGCCCGCGCUGAAUACGUCCCUGCCCUUUGUACACACCGCCCGUCGCUCCUACCGAUUGAGUGGUCCGGUGAGGCUUUGGGAUCUGAGCGGAAAGAGCGUUUCGCUGUUUCUGCUCGGAAAACUCAGUCGAACCUUAUCAUUUAGAGGAAGGAGAAGUCGUAACA